rnacentral:lncRNA from 1 species
GCCACUGCCAUGUAAGAAGUGCCUUUCACCACCCCCACACCCUGCCAUGACUCUGAGGCCUCCCCAGCCACGUGGAACUGAAAGACCAAACCCAAACCACAGUAGUGACCAGAUACUUAGUGGCAGCCCCAGCUGCAGUUAUGGCAAGAAGUGGCCAAGGAGGGGAAUCACCAUGACCACAGAGGAUGCAGUGGGCAUUAGGGACCUGGCAUUUGCUGUCAGAACAAUCCAGUCAGGGUAACAGGUGGUGUUGCAGGAGAUGGGUGGAGCACACAGCAGGGAUUUGGGGAACAGGAGAUCCAUGGAUAUCUACACAUGCUGACAGCUCUCAGCAUCGGGUUAUCUGGCAGCUCAGAGCAGUUGCUUUGCCUGGAGUGGUUGGGUACUCAGCCUGGCUGAGGCUUGUCUGGGAGAACUUUCUCUGUCAUUGUUCAUCUUGAUCUGUGAGAAGCUGUAGGUGCCCCUAAGGCUCAGUGGGAAGAUAAAACCCCAACAAGUUGGUCUGGAAAAUCGAAGACCAGCAAGUGGGAGGCAGCUGUAUGGAGGCCAAUAUGCAGACAAGGGAAGUAACUCAGGCAUUUUGGGGGAGAGGUACAGAAAGAAGAGAAAAGACUGAACUGACUGCUGUUCUGAACAAGAACUGUGACUAUAUGUGGUACUCCCAGAAUGGUGGUUUCCUUUCAGACCCAUCAAGUGGCCAUCCUAUUGGCUUGGACUGAAGACCCCCACUGGAGAACUGUCUCUGCAGCCUAUACUGAUGACACUGGCCACUGUCCAGGGCUCCACCCCAAGGAGUCCAAGCCCCAGACAUUUAGCCUUAGAGAGAAUCCAGAUUUUGCAUUUCCAGUGCAGGGAUUGAUGGAGCCUUGUGUAUCAAAGUGCCAAUUUCUUUCUAACAAGCUAGGGAGGAUACCGUUGACAGCAGCAGAAAGGGGUAGCAGUGGUUUGCUUUCCAAAUGGUAAUAAGAAGGGCCUGGCAGUGGCAACCUGUCCACGUAUCAUUAAAAAUGGACUCUCCUGCUUCGUUUGGAAUUCAACCCAAUGAACUUGAAUAAACUCUGGACAAUGACCAGCACAGAGCCCUAAGCAGGAUACAGCAAGAUUAUUUGCUUUACUCAUCCACUGAGUACCUACCAUGUGCCAAAUACUAUGCUAUAUGCCGAGUAUACACUGGCAAAUAAAACAGAUAUGGUCCCUGGAGCCUAUGAAUCUUACCCCAUCUAGCCACAAAUAAUAAAAAUAAGAAGAAUCUGAAGGACAAGUGGGACAGAAAUACUCAAGCAGAAUGAGGGUGAGAUUGAAGUCCCUGAACAUACAGUGCCCUUUACACUUGAUCUUAGCCAAAAGGCCGAGAAGAGAUUACAGUGCUUUUUAAAGGUAGCAUUUCACCCAGCCAAUAAUCAAUCCCUUUGGCCUUCUUGAGGUGCAAGGCCACACACUCAAAUUCUUUAAUCAAACAAUAGGCUAGUGCAAAUGGAGCUAUUUCUUAAACCCAGCUGUUUACACAGCAGCUACAAAUCUGUUCAGAAGGAAUCCCCCACCAUCCACAACUGUCUAUCGAGCAGAUGUGCAAGAGUAUUUGUCUCUCACCACCAGGGUUGCAGUCAGGACAAGAGAGCAGGUUUGAACGUCUUCGGCUCCUAGAACUGCACAAGCUGUGUCUUCAGUGCCCAGAGGCGGCUGCAACGUCUCCCCAGUUCUCCUCUCAGAACAAUGGAAAUUUUUUUUAGAGGCGUAAUAGGAAGGUUUGCAUUGAAUUAUUAAACAAUGGGUAUUGAAAAAUAUGUUUUCUUUGACCUCUGUACUUCUAGCUUUUACCAGUCAGUGUUUUCUUGUACCAAGGCUAAGAUAUGUAUAACACUGAAAUGGAUGUCUUCUUAUAUAAUAUUUUACAAGCUUUUGAAAACCUGUGCCCUUUAAUAAAUUUUAAAACGUUUC